rnacentral:rRNA from 1 species
UACGUAGGGGGCAAGCGUUGUCCGGAUUUAUUGGGCGUAAAGAGCGUGUAGGCGGCCAGGUAGGUCUGCUGUGAAAACUCGAGGCUCAACCUCGAGAUGUCGGCGGAAACCAUCUGGCUAGAGUCCGGAAGAGGAGAAUGGAAUUCACGGUGUAGCAGUGAAAUGCGUAGAUAUCGUGAGGAAGACCAGUGGCGAAGGCGGAUCUCUGGACAGCUCCUGACGCUGAGGCGCGAAGGCUAGGGGAGCAAACGGG